rnacentral:rRNA from 1 species
UACGAAGGGGGCUAGCGUUGCUCGGAAUUACUGGGCGUAAAGGGCGCGUAGGCGGACAGUUAAGUCAGAGGUGAAAGCCCAGGGCUCAACCCUGGAAUUGCCUUUGAUACUGAUUGUCUUGAGUACGGGAGAGGUGUGUGGAACUCCGAGUGUAGAGGUGAAAUUCGUAGAUAUUCGGAAGAACACCAGUGGCGAAGGCGACACACUGGCCCGUUACUGACGCUGAGGCGCGAAAGCGUGGGGAGCAAACAGG